CACUGAAAAAAAUGGACUUGGUGGGUCUUUGAAUUUAAAUAAAAUAAACAUGUAUAUGCAACACAAAAUAUUUAUAUUCCUUGUGUAAACAUAAUUUAAUUGAUUAGGAUGAAAAUGUUUUGUUUGAAUGUAAAAUGAACACAUUAUUCUCACAUUGAUUAAAAUUGAUUGAAUUGAAUACUUAAAGCAAUAAAAUUGAGUUUGCACACAAAAUGGCACCUCCUGAGCAGAAGGUGGCAGUAACGCUCAAUAAAAAGGACGUCAAUCGCCAUAAAAGAAGAAUAAACAUCGUUUGUUUUGGGCGCCAAAAUGAAGACUCAGCAGCAGUCAGUCAGAAGAACUCUCUCAGACGGACACCACGUUAUUAAAGUAAGUUCUAUUAUUUAUUUAUGUUCACUUUAUACGUGAUACAUCUUCACUAGAUAGACAGUUUUUUUUACAAUAUGUAGCCAUUGCAAUGACUUGUAGUAAAAAUGAGUUUGGAGGAUGUUGGUGGAGUAAGUUAACGUUACAGUCAGUCAGUCAGUAACUUAAGUGUAAGGCUCAUAAAGAAAAACAGCGUUUUAAAAAUGUCAGCUGUAUAACGUUAUUUCACGUUUGGUAGUUUUAUCCGAGUUGAAAACUGACAGAUUUGAGUUGACUUUUGAGGCACUUUUUACUCAGUUGUUCUAUGGAAACGGUUCAGGACAAAUAAAACGCUAACCAAACGUUAUUCUGUCAGGAGUAACGUUAUCCAUGUAAGUAAUUUACCAGAUGAUAUCAAUUGACUACAUUAAUAAUGACAUUGUAUGAAACAAACUGUCUGCUUAAUCAGAUGAACAGACCCGCGUCAGUUAUUCGUGACUUCACUACGCCACGAGCAACACUUGAUUCAAUUAGAAAAAGCUUUUUUUAAAUGCCUCGCGUGACGUCUGGUAUAUUAACUGAAAAAAUUGCUUUGAAGUGCCACACCUUAAAGCUGACGUUUUCAGAAGAGCACCUUGUUUUAAGAUCUCAUUUUGUCCAAAAUUGCGUCCUAUGACAGAUAUAAUACUUAUUUCAUGAUUGCUCUGUGUAUGUGUGACCUUCAUCAUUUGAGGUUGUGUGUUGAUUUCACCUCUGAAUAUUUCCUCUUAUAGGUCCAUCAUCCUUGCAUGCGCUACACACUCAAAAGCAUUGAUAAAUGCUGAAUUUAAAAGAAUCACUACUGUCUUAUGUUCCUGCGUGUCACCUGGACCUCCAAUCCAAAAACCUGACGAAACUCUUCUAUCAGAAAGGAGGACAGCUAGCAAACAGACUUCAAACAAUGAAUGAUCAAAUGACAGAAGGCAUGAAUGAAGUCAGCAUCAGUGUGGUCAUUUGAAGUCACCACUGUUGGGAUUUGUGCUCUCAAACAACAUGCUUCUUGUGAUGAAGAAGAGGAUCUUUGUAUAGUCCUGAA